rnacentral:rRNA from 1 species
CCUACGGGAGGCAGCAGUUAGGAAUUUUGGGCAAUGGGCGAAAGCCUGACCCAGCAACGCCGCGUGGGUGAUGAAGGCCUUCGGGUCGUAAAGCCCUUUUCCGGGGGAAGAUGAUGACGGUACCCCGGGAAUAAGCCCCGGCUAACUACGUGCCAGCAGCCGCGGUAAUACGUAGGGGGCGAGCGUUGUCCGGAUUUAUUGGGCGUAAAGCGCGCGUAGGCGGCGAGGUAUGUCGCGCGUGAAAUCUCCCGGCUUAACUGGGAGGGGCCGCGCGAAACUGCCUGGCUUGAGGUCGGAAGGGGAGAGUGGAAUUCCGGGUGUAGUGGUGGAAUACGUAGAUAUCCGGAGGAACACCAGCGGCGAAGGCGGCUCUCUGGUCCGAUGCUGACGCUGAGGCGCGAAAGCGUGGGGAGCGAUCCGGAUUAGAUACCCUUGUAGUC